UUCAGGAAUAUUUGCUGCAGGUGUGGGGUCUGCCUCGUCAGGAAACAAGAAGAUAGAAACAAUGUGAUGACUCUUGAAUAUUGAAGUGAACAUAUUCGUGUCACGUAUCUAGGGCCCCUCCUGUCGCAGGACACCUCACCCUAAGUGUAUAUAAAAGCCGUUUAAGCCACACCUUUAGUAGACAGGUGGAUCGCCAUCAUGAAACUGCUUGUGCUCUUUCUCUUGGGUGUCGCCACAUCCGCAGCCCCAAAACCCACUAUCCCGUUCAACCAGCGAUAUGCUACCUACAUUGACUUUAUCAAAUACGUGCAUCCGGAGUUGCACAAGAAGAUCCUGGAGCUGAGCACUAACAACAACAUUUAUGGGUUGCUCUUCCCAAACGGAACCACAAUUGACCUGGAAUACGAGGGUGACGAAAACUGGAACCAGGAAGAGAGAAAACAUUUCUUCAGAUGGCUGACAGCACGUUUUAUUAUUAAUAAUUCACAGUUAUAUAACAGUGACUGAAGGAUAAAACACACAUUCAAUCUGACUCACUCUUUCAGUGACUCUCUUGGCGAUGAUUAGGUGACUAACUUUCCAUUUCAGUCACAUUCUCACUGACUCACUCCACCACUGGCCACCACUAGGAGUCAUCAGAACACAUCCACGACUCAAUCACCAUCGAGCUGUAGACACCUGCCUGAUAUCACCCUACACCUGCAGAGAACAAAACACUAAUUGGCUAAUUAAUUGAAAGCUUUAUCUUGUCGCAGCAACAUCAAGGUCGUAUGCCGCCUCAACAAAACAUAUACCAAGAUAUGUAGCUUAAUUGAAUUAAUAAAGGGAAUCAAUGUU